rnacentral:misc_RNA from 1 species
AACCUAUUAGAGAACUAGCUUAAGAAGAACACUUGGAGGGAGCAAAAAGAUUUGGAGAGUAGGAAAUGGCGGCCAAGAUUGCAAGGUCUAGGUCAUCGUUGCCGUUGUCAUCUCCAUUGUCAAAGAAGAAGUAGAGAGCAAAUACAGAACUGAGAGGCUGCUUGGAGCGAAGGAUGUAACAGUAUUAUAGGGGCAUUUUUAUCAUUUGGUUAUGGGCCUAUUCAAUUGAAUUGAAUCCUGCC